ensembl:lncRNA
CGCAGGCCUCUCACCACCGGUGGUUUAUUCUCCCCAGAGCGCCGUGAUAGUUUUAGGGCGUUCUGACAAAGAUUGCACUGGAAGUGGUUUUCGUGGAAUAUAAAAAGAAACCGCUCCUCGGGAAACGCCAGAAUUGUGUAGCUGAUGGAUUAAUUUCCUCUACAGCUAACACGGCUACAGGAAGGAUUUGGCUCUGCACGUGCCUGCUGCUGGGCUGCUGAUACCACAGUGACUGCAUAGGGUGCAUCCAGACAGAUAGCCACCACCACCACCUCACUUGUAUUUAAAAAUUACAUUUCCAUUGAUUCCUGUAGUAAUAAUAACUACAACCUCAUAAUACAAAUUAUAUCUUAGAAAUUGGGAAAUCCUUGCUCUGUAGACAGUGUUGGUAGAAGAUUGCAAGGAUUCAUCAUUCAACCUAUAUUAAACCUACACAGCGCUGAUAUUUUCUUUUUUUAAAAAUCAAACAACACAGUGCUUUUAAGAGUAGCAGUCUGUUUCUGUUCACCAAACAAAGGUAAGAUCUUCAGCUACAAAUCAGAUGGAAAAUACCAUGUGGCAGAAGUAGCCACAUCCGUUGCCCCAGGACACGGAGGACAGCUCCUGCCCUUGGCUGCCUGCUCAGCUAACAGCACUGGUCUUGUGACAUCCCGCUCAGAUGGCAGCACAUAUCCGUGUGUUUAAAAAAAUAUGUUAUCUUUACAGCAUUGCUCCAGUAAGAUGACACCCAGAAUACCAGGUACUGAAGAUAAGCAACAGAAGAACUGAAGAUUUGGGGCUGAAUGUGCAUAGAAGUACAUGCAUUCAAGUCCUGGGUUAACAACUUUUCCAAACGUCAUGAGAGCAGCAGUUUGGAGACACAGGACAAAUGCUCCUCCAAAGAGGUGGAGGAAGAGAAGAAAACCCUUCCCAUCUGCACUGAGAGCAUGGGAGCCAAGUUUCUGCCUGGAACGAUCUGAGGGGCUGAUGUACAGUUAUCCAGAAAUACAGCAUUUCAUCAUCUACUUCAAAGGACUACCACGGAAAGAGAGCAAAAGUGCAAUCAGAAAAUAAAGAGAUUACACUUCACCUCCUGCCAGUAUCUCUGAUGCGAGUGCUGAAUGUAAAACUUGAAAUCAGUACUACGGAAGAACAGCUUCUAUCUACCAUUUGCUCAGAGAAGAUAUAAGGUUAAACAGGGGCUACUUACAUUUCUACACUGAUAUUACCAAAUCAUGUUAUUCUCAAAAGGAGGUUUUCCUGUGCCAGUUCAUUCUUUGGCUUUCUUGCUGCGUACACUAACCUGGAAGUUUGUUUAACAUAUACAGAUAUAUAUUGAAUAAUUGUUGACUAUAUACGACCCUUUUUAUGAUUGCAGGCAACUUACAUUUUCCAGUUCUGUUUUGGACUCAUGGCAUAACACCAGUGAAAUGGGAAAUAGCUAAUGACUGCUUGUUCUGUUCUUCUAAAUUUUGCCAUUUUGUCUGCUCUCCCCAUUUCUCUUUAAGCACUUAUUUUUCUUCCUUCCCCCACGUUGCAAUUAAUGCUGAAAAACCUACAAGACUAGGGAAGUCUACUUUUUUAUAUAAAACUACUUUGUUUAGGUCUUAUAAUUCCUAGAAGGAAUUACCCAGGCACUCAAAUUAAAGUCAGGCCCACAUCAUAUCUGCACCCUAAGUUUUAUCUGGCAGUGUUCAAGUAUUUUGAAAGUCAUGGGAAAUGAACAGACCUUGAAAAAAUAUGGAUAUCCCAAAUGUUGAUAUCAUUGCUGUAAACUUUUUCAUUGCUCUGGUAUUUGGAGUACUCUACACUGUUUAAUUUGGGCUAUUAACAUUCCAAAUGAAAGUAGCAAGAACUCCACCAUGAGUUUAUCUUUCUUUGAGUAAUCUUAACAUGCACCUAAGUCUCUGGUUAAGUUUCCAAGAACCCCAUGUCAUGGUUAUAUUUCACAAGCACAUUAUCUACCCUCUCUGCUUUAGCCAUUUUACUUACACUGCCUAAGUGGCCCCCCUGGAAGCACUUACCUCUCUCCAGUGACUAUGUAGGGAGCUUGGUCUUAUAAUUUUUCUCUUUUACAUCAGAGCAAAAUUAGAUCUUAGAGCAGACAAAACCAAAUUAUGCCAAUACGUCCAACAGCAUCAAGUUAGAGUUUUGAUCCUUUAAAUCUUAUUCAUGCAAGUAAAUCAUGGUCAUGGAGUGGAAAAGAAGAGAAGCUGUGUUAUUAAAGGUCACGGGACCAGGGCUUCAGAGUAUCUAUGGCUUUCGAAUUCCCAUGCUCAAGCUCUUCCCCCUGUUGCUAUAUUUCAGCCAAUUUCUAAGCAAUAUUUUCAGCAUAAUAAAAUCCUGAACU